UACGAGGGGGGCAAGCGUUGUUCGGAUUCACUGGGCGUAAAGGGUGCGUAGGUGGUUGGGUAAGUUUGAUGUGAAAGCUCAGGGCUUAACCCUGAAAUGGCAUUGAAUACUACUUAACUGGAGGUUUGGAGGGGGGACUGGAAUUCUUGGUGUAGCAGUGAAAUGCGUAGAUAUCAAGAGGAACACCAGUGGCGAAGGCGAGUCCCUGGACAACACCUGACACUGAGGCACGAAAGCUAGGGGAGCAAACAGG
rnacentral:rRNA from 1 species